rnacentral:tRNA from 1 species
GCCCCUAUAGCUCAGCUGGUAGAGCGCUAGUUUUGUAAACUAGAUGUCGGCGGUUCGAUCCCGUCUGGGGGCACCA